rnacentral:rRNA from 1 species
GAUGAACGCUGGCGGCGUGCCUAAUACAUGCAAGUCGAGCGAACAGACGAGGAGCUUGCUCCUCUGACGUUAGCGGCGGACGUGUGAGUAACACGUGGAUAACCUACCUAUAAGACUGGGAUAACUUCGGGAAACCGGAGCUAAUACCGGAUAAUAUAUUGAACCGCAUGGUUCAAUAGUGAAAGACGGUUUUGCUGUCACUUAUAGAUGGAUCCGCGCCGCAUUAGCUAGUUGGUAAGGUAACGGCUUACCAAGGCAACGAUGCGUAGCCGACCUGAGAGGGUGAUCGGCCACACUGGAACUGAGACACGGUCCAGACUCCUACGGGAGGCAGCAGUAGGGAAUCUUCCGCAAUGGGCGAAAGCCUGACGGAGCAACGCCGCGUGAGUGAUGAAGGUCUUCGGAUCGUAAAACUCUGUUAUUAGGGAAGAACAAAUGUGUAAGUAACUAUGCACGUCUUGACGGUAUCUAAUCAGAAAGCCACGGCUAACUACGUG